rnacentral:rRNA from 1 species
UACGUAGGGGACCAGCGUUGUCCGGAUUUACUGGGCGUAAAGAGCGCGCAGGCGGUCGGUCAAGUCGAGUGUGAAAGCCCCCGGCUCAACUGGGGAGGGUCACUCGAUACUGAUCGACUUGAAGGCAGGAGAGGGAAGCGGAAUUCCCGGUGUAGUGGUGAAAUGCGUAGAUAUCGGGAGGAACACCAGUGGCGAAGGCGGCUUCCUGGCCUGUUCUUGACGCUGAGGCGCGAAAGCUGGGGGAGCAAACGGG